rnacentral:rRNA from 1 species
AACGAACGCUGGCGGCAGGCUUAACACAUGCAAGUCGAACGCUCGUAGCAAUACGGGAGUGGCGGACGGGUGAGUAACGCGUGGGAACGUGCCCUGAGGUACGGAAUAACUGCGGGAGACUGCAGCUAAUACCGUAUGAGCCCCGCAAGGGGGAAAGAUUGAUCGCCUUAGGAGCGGCCCGCGUCGGAUUAGCUAGUUGGUGGGGUAACGGCGUACCAAGGCUGCGAUCCGUAGCUGGUCUGAGAGGACGAUCAGCCACACUGGGACUGAGACACGGCCCAGACUCCUACGGGAGGCAGCAGUGGGGAAUCUUGCGCAAUGGGGGCAACCCUGACGCAGCCAUGCCGCGUGAAUGAUGAAGGCCUUAGGGUUGUAAAGUUCUUUUGCCCGUGACGAUGAUGACGGUAACGGGAGAAUAAGCUCCGGCUAACUUCGUGCCAGCCGCCGCGGUAAGAC